CGGCCGCUUUUACUUCCUCUACGGCUUCGUCUGGAUCCAGGACAUGAUGGAGCGCGCCAUCAUCGACACCUUUGUGGGGCACGACGUGGUGGAGCCGGGCAGCUACGUGCAGAUGUUCCCCUACCCCUGCUACACACGCGAUGAGUGAGUGCUCGGCGCCCGGGGCUGGGCUGGGGCUGGGGCUGAGUAGCGCCUGAGCGCGGCCUCCCCGCAGCUUCCUGUUUGUCAUUGAGCACAUGAUGCCGCUGUGCAUGGUGAUCUCCUGGGUCUACUCCGUGGCCAUGACCAUCCAGCACAUCGUGGCGGAGAAGGAGCACCGGCUCAAGGAGGUGCGCGGGCCGGGACGCUCCCUGGAGGCGCGGGCUGGCAGGGAGGGGCGGCGUCCUCCCCGGGGCCUGCCCCAAGCCCCUGGCCCACCCGCAGGUGAUGAAGACCAUGGGCCUGAACAACGCGGUGCACUGGGUGGCCUGGUUCAUCACCGGCUUUGUGCAGCUGUCCAUCUCCGUGACAGCGCUCACCGCCAUCCUGAAGUACGGCCAAGUGCUCAUGCACAG
rnacentral:sRNA from 1 species